rnacentral:lncRNA from 1 species
GCCCCAGCGUGCCUGGAGGGUUCCCACAUCCAGACGGACAGACGGGCCAGGGGACACCCGUCCAGGCAGCCAUGGCUGCUCAGCCACAGUCCCUGGAGGGUCAGGGGCCCAGCUGUGAGGCAGGCGGUGCCCAAGACGCUCUCUGGACCGCACUGCUUCAUCUGAGAGAAAGACUUUUGGAAGGCAUAGGUUGGGGCUCGCCUGGGAACCCCUCUCCAUCCCCCACCCAGACUCCAGCAGGCUGGAGUCAAGCUUGGCUGGGCAGCGGAGGAUCACUGGUGCACAGAGGGCUCCGCGUCUCCCCAAGCACCGCUCACCUGUGAGAUCACCGCCUGGCAGGGACGCCAGCACGGGCUCCCAGCCACAGGGCAGCUCCCACCCUGCGAACUCCAGCUCUUCCCAGGCCGCUCCAGAGGCCAGGCUGCACAAACACCUUGGCUAGUCUCCCCACCUGGCACAGGCCCUGUUCACUCCAACCACUGCCUUCUCUGAGCACACACCAAGUUGGAGCCCACAGCCAAGCAGCGGGCGGCCACGGGGGAUUCCUGCCUCCUGAGUCCUCAACUCUCUUGGCCCGGAGCUCACACCGGCAUUUCAGAUUUUCUCCUUCCCCCUGUUACCCCCGCCUUGCCA